GCUUACGGCCAUACCACCCUGAGAACGCCCGAUCUCGUCCGAUCUCGGAAGCUAAGCAGGGUCGGGCCUGGUUAGUACUUGGAUGGGAGACCGCCUGGGAAUACCAGGUGCUGUAGGCU
rnacentral:rRNA from 1 species